rnacentral:rRNA from 1 species
UACAGGGGGGGCAAGCGUUGUUCGGAAUUACUGGGCGUAAAGGGUUCGUAGGUGGCCACUUAAGUCAGACGUGAAAUCCCUCAGCUUAACUGGGGAACUGCGUCUGAUACUGGGUGGCUUGAGUGCAGGAGAGGAAUGCGGAAUUCCAGGUGUAGCGGUGAAAUGCGUAGAUAUCUGGAGGAACACCGGUGGCGAAGGCGGCAUUCUGGACUGUAACUGACACUGAUGAACGAAAGCUAGGGGAGCAAACAGG